GGCGGGCGGGACUGAAGCAGAGCCCGAGAACGGGGCUGGAGGUCCCAGGGUCCCGGGUUGGUGGGGGUGGAGCAGCACUUCAUCGCCGCGGGGGUGCUGGGACUCCGGCCGCAGUGCCGCCGCCAUCAUGGACUUCCUGUGGGACAAGCGCACGGGCCUGGCCGCCAGAAAGAUGCCUCAUCCUCGAAGGUACCAUUCCUCAGAGCGAGGCAGCCGGGGGAGUUACUGUGAACACUAUCGGAGCCGAAAACAAGCAACGAAGAAGCCGUUCCUGGUCAAGUAGUAGUGACCGGACACGACGGCGCCGGCGAGAGGACAGCUACCAUGUCCGGAGGAGGUGCAGCCGGACAUUUAGCCGCUCGUCUUCGCAGCACAGCAGCCGGAAAGCCAAGAGUGUAGAGGACGACACUGAGGGCCACCUCAUCUACCAUGUCGGGGACUGGCUACAAGAGCGAUAUGAAAUCGUCAGCACCUUAGGAAAGGGGACCUUCGGCCGAGUUGUACAAUGUGUUGACCAUCGCAGGCGUGGGGCUCGAGUUGCCCUGAAGAUCAUUAAGAAUGUGGAGAAGUAUAAGGAAGCAGCUCGACUUGAGAUCAAAGUGCUGGAGAAAAUCAACGAGAAAGACCCUGGCAAGAACCUCUGUGUCCAGAUGUUUGACUGGUUCGACUACCAUGGCCACAUGUGUAUCUCCUUGGAGCUUCUGGGCCUUAGCACCUUCGAUUUCCUCAAAGACAACAACCACCUGCCCUACCCCAUCCACCAAGUGCACCACAUGGCCUCCCAGCUGUGCCAGGCUGUCAAGUUCCUCCAUGAUAACAAGCUGACACAUACAGACCUCAAGCCUGAAAAUAUUCUGUUUGUGAAUUCAGACUAUGAGCUCACCUACAACCUAGAGAAGAAGCGACAUGAGCGCAGUGUGAAGAGCACAGCUGUGCGGGUGGGAGACUUUGGCAGUGCCACCUUUGACCAUGAGCACCAUAGCACCAUUGUCUCCACUCGCCAUUACCGAGCACCAGAAGUCAUCCUUGAGUUGGGUUGGUCACAGCCUUGUGAUGUGUGGAGUAUAGGCUGCAUCAUCUUUGAGUACUAUGUGGGCUUCACCCUCUUCCAGACCCAUGACAACAGACAGCAUCUAGCCACGAUGGAAAGGAUCUUGGGUCCUAUCCCUUCCCGGAUGAUCCGAAAGACAAGAAAACAGAAAUAUUUUUACCGGGGUCGCCUGGAUUGGGAUGAGAACACAUCAGCUGGACGCUAUGUUCGUGAGAACUGCAAACCGCUGCGGCAGUAUCUGACCUCAGAGGCAGAGGAAGACCACCAGCUCUUCGAUCUGAUUGAAAGCAUGCUAGAGUAUGAACCAGCUCAGCGGCUGACCUUGGGUGAAGCCCUUCAGCAUCCUUUCUUCUCCCGCCUUUGGGCUGAGCCACCCAACAAGUUGUGGGACUCCAGUCAGGAUAUCAGUCCGUGACCACCAGGCCCUGGGCCUCCCUGCAUCUUUUAUAGCAGUGAGUGUCCAGUCCAGGACAUUGGUGCUUUUUUAUAAAAGAGAACAGAGCCAGAGUUCACUCCUUCCUGCUGCUUCUCUAUAUACCUGUGAAUAUGUGAAACAGUAAAUAUGAAAGAACUUGUACCUAUCACUUCAACCCCUGCGUUGUACAUAAUGCUAUUCCAUCUACACACUUUCCACCCUCACCUGCCCCCUCAUACAGAGUUGGAUGGGGGCCGAGUGAGGUAACCAGGUGGCAUCUACCCCAUGUUUUAUAAGGAAUUUUGUACAGUCUUUGUGAAAUGAAAUAACAUGCUUCAUUUGACCC